GCUGGGCGUGGUGGCUCACGCCUGUAAUCCCAGCACUUUGGGAGGCCAGGGCAGGUGGAUCACUUGAUGCCAGGAGUUGGAGACCAGCAUGACCAACAUAGCAAAACCCCCGUCUCUACUAAAAAUACAAAAAAUUAGCUGGGUUUGGUGGUGCAGGCCUGUAAUCCCAGCUACUCAGGAAGCUGGGGCACGAGAAUCACUUGAACCCAGGAGGUGGAGGUUGCAGUGAGCUGAGAUUGUGCCACUACACUCCAGCCUGGGCGACAGAGCAAGACUCUGUCU
rnacentral:lncRNA from 10 species